rnacentral:lncRNA from 1 species
GGAUGAGAGAGAUAAGCACUUGCUAAGAGCCUUCCUGGUGCUGAGCCUUCUAUGUGUGCUCCAAGCCCCACGUACUGAAGGUUGGAUUCCUAGCCUGUAGCUCUCAGAGACGUAGAGGAGCUUUUAGAAGCUGGUGUCUGAUGGAAAGGAGACACAUCCCAUGUCUACCUUGAAGACAGAACCUCAAGCCUAGUAUGGCAGAAGUUGCUGGGGAAAGACAUGUGAGUGAUCAGAGCACAGAGGGGAGAGACAACCACCGCCCUCCUCCACUACAGGACCCAUGUCUCCGACCUAUAUGUCUCAAGACUGUACAGUGUCUGAUGUUUCCUUCUCAUCCCUCUGGCUUGGAAAUGGCAAUGGCUGUGUGUAGUUGUGGACACAUGUAUUGACGUAAACAGCCCAUCCGCUUGGUUCCUGGACAGCUUCUGAGGAGGGGAAGCAGCUUGCUAAGGCUUGUAGCAGAGACUUCAUGGUGGGAAAUACACACUGGUGAAUGAAUGAAGAAGCAAAGGGUUCAAGAUGAAAGAGGGGGGGAUAAAGAACAAUUAAAGGUGAGAUUUUAGCAGUACCUGCAACUCUGCCCAAUGCCCCCAUUGUUGCUCAUCCAUCCAUCCAUCCAUCCAUCCAUCCAUCCA